GAUGAAGAACGUAGCAAAAUGCGAUAAGUAAUGUGAAUUGCAGAAUUCAGUGAAUCAUCGAAUCUUUGAACGCACAUUGCGCCCGCUGGUAUUCCGGCGGGCAUGCCUGUUCGAGCGUCAUUUCAACCCUCAAGCCCCCGGGUUUGGUGUUGGGGAUCGGCUCUGCCCUUCUGGGCGGUGCCGCCCCCGAAAUACAUUGGCGGUCUCGCUGCAGCCUCCAUUGCGUAGUAGCUAACACCUCGCAACUGGAACGCGGCGCGGCCAUGCCGUAAAACCCCAACUUCUGAAUGUUGACCUCAGAUCAGGUAGGAAUACCCGCUGAACUUAAGCAUAUCAAUAAGCGGAGGA
rnacentral:misc_RNA from 1 species